rnacentral:rRNA from 1 species
GACGAACGCUGGCGGCGUGCCUAAUACAUGCAAGUCGAGCGGACAGAAGGGAGCUUGCUCCCGGAAGUUAGCGGCGGACGGGUGAGUAACACGUGGGCAACCUACCCUGUAGAUCGGGAUAACAUCGAGAAAUCGGUGCUAAUACCGGAUAAUCAUUUGAAGUGCAUGCUUCGAAUGUAAAAGAUGGCUCCGGCUAUCACUACGGGAUGGGCCCGAGGCGCAUUAGCUAGGUGGUAAGGUAAUGGCUUACCAAGGCAACGAUGCGUAGCCGACCUGAGAGGGUGAUCGGCCACACUGGGACUGAGACACGGCCCAGACUCCUACGGGAGGCAGCAGUAGGGAAUCUUCCGCAAUGGACGAAAGUCUGACGGAGCAACGCCGCGUGAGUGAUGAAGGUUUUCGGAUCGUAAAGCUCUGUUGUUAGGGAAGAACAAGUGCCGUUUGAAUAAGGCGGCACCUUGACGGUACCUAACCAGAAAGCCACGGCUAACUACGUGCCAGCAGCCGCCGUAAAAC